rnacentral:rRNA from 1 species
GAUGAACGCUGGCGGCGUGCCUAAUACAUGCAAGUCGAGCGAACAGAUAAGGAGCUUGCUCCUUUGACGUUAGCGGCGGACGGGUGAGUAACACGUGGAUAACCUACCUAUAAGACUGGGAUAACUUCGGGAAACCGGAGCUAAUACCGGAUAAUAUAUUGAACCGCAUGGUUCAAUAGUGAAAGGCGGCUCUGCUGUCACUUAUAGAUGGUUCCGCGCCGUAUUAGCUAGUAGGUAAGGUAACGGCUUACCAAGGCAACGAUACCUAGCCGACCUGAGAGGAUGAUCAGCCACGCUGGCACUGCGACUCGGUCCAGACUAGUACGGGAGGCAGCAGUAAAGACUCUUCCGCAAUAGACGAAAGCCUGACGAAGCAACGCCGCGUCAGUGAUGAAGUUCUACGGAUCGUAGAACUCUGUUAUCAGGGAAAAACAAUUGUGUAAGUAACUGUGCACAUCUUGACGGUACCUGAUCAGAAAGCCACGGCUAACUACGAG